UCCCGAAGCAUCCAUGCCCUGUCAGUAA
rnacentral:sRNA from 1 species